AAACCCAGGCUAAUACCGCAUACGUCCUACGGGAGAAAGGGGGCUUCGGCUCCCGCUAUUGGAUNAGCCUAUGCCGGAUUAGCUGGUUGGUGAGGUAAUGGCUCACCAAGGCGACGAUCCGUAGCUGGUCUGAGAGGAUGAUCAGCCACAUCGGGACUGAGACACGGCCCGAACUCCUACGGGAGGCAGCAGUGGGGAAUAUUGGACAAUGGGGGCAACCCUGAUCCAGCCAUGCCGCGUGUGUGAAGAAGGCCCUCGGGUUGUAAAGCACUUUCAGCGAGGAAGAACGCCUGUCGGUUAAUACCCGGCAGGAAAGACAUCACUCGCAGAANNAANCACCGGCUAACUCCGUGCCAGCAGCCGCGGUAAUACGGAGGGUGCAAGCGUUAAUCGGAAUUACUGGGCGUAAAGCGCGCGUAGGUGGCUUGAUAAGCCGGUUGUGAAAGCCCCGGGCUCAACCUGGGAACGGCAUCCGGAACUAUUAGGCUAGAGUGCAGGAGAGGAAGGUAGAAUUCCCGGUGUAGCGGUGAAAUGCGUAGAGAUCGGGAGGAAUACCAGUGGCGAAGGCGGCCUUCUGGACUGACACUGACACUGAGGUGCGAAAGCGUGGGUAGCAAACAGGAUUAGAUACCCUGGUAGUCCACGCCGUAAACGAUGUCGACCAGCCGUUGGGUGCCUAGCGCACUUUGUGGCGAAGUUAACGCGAUAAGUCGACCGCCUGGGGAGUACGGCCGCAAGGUUAAAACUCAAAUGAAUUGACGGGGGCCCGCACAAGCGGUGGAGCAUGUGGUUUAAUUCGAUGCAACGCGAAGAACCUUACCUACCCUUGACAUCCUGCGAACUUGUGAGAGAUCACUUGGUGCCUUCGGGCCCGCAGAGACAGGUGCUGCAUGGCUGUCGUCAGCUCGUGUUGUGAAAUGUUGGGUUAAGUCCCGUAACGAGCGCAACCCUUGUCCCUAUUUGCCAGCGAUUCGGUCGGGAACUCUAGGGAGACUGCCGGUGACAAACCGGAGGAAGGUGGGGACGACGUCAAGUCAUCAUGGCCCUUACGGGUAGGGCUACACACGUGCUACAAUGGCCGGUACAAAGGGCUGCGAGCUCGCGAGAGUCAGCGAAUCCCUUAAAGCCGGUCUCAGUCCGGAUCGGAGUCUGCAACUCGACUCCGUGAAGUCGGAAUCGCUAGUAAUCGUGCAUCAGAA
rnacentral:rRNA from 1 species